rnacentral:lncRNA from 1 species
GACAGGGAAAGACUUUGAAAUGGGCAGAAAAGAUUACGGGAUGUCCUGCAGGUUCAGUGUGCUUUGGCCUAUUUUUCAACUGUCUAAAUUUUCGCCGCCAAAGUCGCCAAAACCGCCUUCGCCGCAGCUGCAGCCAAAGCCUCCUCCUCCUCCUCUUCCUUCUCUCUCCUCCCUCACCUCCUCCUUCCUUCUAGGAAGCUUACUGGAGUGAAACUUGAACGUUUUCAAAAAAAAAUCAUUAACGCAAAUGAUUCUUGUCCAAAGAAACAGAAAUAAUAGAAGUGUGAAGGGGCGUGGGAGGGGGUUGAGAUGUGCCGCGUUCAGGCCCGGGGCACCGGCGAGGGUGGGCGUGUGAGCGGGGGGUGGGGGCGUUAACGGUGUCUUCUCCCCACAAAUGAAAGAGAAAUAGUAAAUUCUCCUGCGGGUGGCGAAUCAGGAGGGAAGGUGGAGCCCACAAUCUUUGCAAACUCUCUGGGGAGCCAGGGGUUGGUAGCUGGGAAGACUUGGGUGGUGACCCUGGGGGAGGGGAAGGGGCCGGGGAGCGGGGAAUGGGGGCAGCCCCUGGGGAGGAAUGGGAGAGGGAGGAGGACGCCAGGGGCACAGGGACAGCCUCCGGGGCGGGGCGCGGCGCCAGCCUAGCCCGAGGAUGGAGGCUGAGGCCGCCUGUUGAGUCACAGGUAAGGGGAGCCGCUCUGGCCAGGCCCAGGGCCGCCCUCGUUCCUCCCGGAGCGCAGCGACAGCUCCUCCCCGCGUCUCGGGUUUCAAUGGCUGGGCCUGCCCGAAAGCUCUGGGCCCCCGCGUCCCAAUUUUUUCUUUAUUUUUGAAGGAUAAUAUUGCUGGACAUAGAAUUCUUUGUUGACAUUGGUCAGCUCUUUGAAUAUGUCAUCCAGUAUCUUCUGGCCUCCGUGGUUUAUGGUAUGUAGUCCUGGAGGGCGCUGCUUAAUGAACCAGAAGUCCUGCCUCUUAAGUACCUCACCAGCUCAAAUGUGUGCAUGUCACCUUGGCGUGAAUCGGAGCAGGCGCUGGUGGAUACCGUUUGGAGGCAUGCCAGCAAGGAGCUCCUUGUGUAGCCUGCCUCUGGAGCCUCAAGUUCAACUUCCAUAGGGCCAAAAGGGGAGUCGGGCUGGGCAGAAGCUCCUGAGAACCAAAGCAAAUGGUCUGAGAGUCUGAGAGUGUAGUGGAGGUAACGUGUUCGUGUCCUCUCUGGCUGCAUCACCCCAAGUCCUUGCAGACUCAAGUAGCCUAUUUGCAAGUUUAAAUAGUUUGAGUCCUGGCCGGUAACAAGAAUACUCUACAGUGGCCCAGAGUCAGGGAUAUAGAGUGGCGACUACUUGGCAGAACUGGAGCUUGCUCAGAUGAAAAGAUAAAUUGUACUGGUUAAACGAAGAUCAAGUGCAGGGUCUGGACUUUGUUUCUAUCUUUCAUGUGGACUCUAUAAGCACCUACACACAGCAUUCUAGAAACACUGCUCCCAUCCCUCCUGUCUCAUGUCAUCCUCCCAAUUCCGGGAGUUGGGGGGCAUACUCUUUCCCUGUGUCAUGUGAGAAAUUCCUUUCUCAUGGGAAGCAGGUGGCAUUCCUGGACUCUCCUUGGCCUGGCCGUUGGUAAGCACAGGAAUUCAAGGUGUCUGAAUCUCUUGUCAAAGGUGGGCUGUAAGGCUCCAGAAGAGGAGGACAGAAAGUGCCUGCAGAGCUCCUGCCUGAGGCCUUUGGAUGGGCCCUGCUGGCUUGCCGUGUGUGUGUGUGUGUGUGUGUGUGUGUGUGUGUGUGUGUGGUGUCGUGCUUAUUUGCCCCAAAUGAGGCAAGAGAGCAGUGAUCAGGUGUCUCCCCAGCAUCUAGUUUCAUGAAGACAAUAGAAGUGGGUCGGAUCAGGCCUGCUGCCAUGCUUGGCUUGCCCAUGUCUCCUAGGAUUGGCUGCCUGGUGGCCAUCCCUUUGCCAUCCCCUUGACUGCCCUGUGAAUGAUGUCCACUCUGAGACCCCAGGCCACUCAGAAAAACUGAAGAUUCUCAAGUUCAGGUGCAGUUAGGGGGCAGGUCCUGGUGGUGGGGGAGCUUUGAUGUUCUGCAGUUGGAGGAUCCUCUUUCAGAAUAGUAAUGCAAUUUGUGAAUUAAUAAAAUUAGGUAUGCAAGAGGAUAUGUAGAAAAGAAAAAUCACAAGCUACACAAUUUUUAAGUUGACAAAACUACGAACAUCACAAAAUAAUAUGAUAUUUUAAAUUAAUUAUCUGCCUGGAAUACUCUGUCAUUUUUUUUUGAUCUUUUGCCUGCAUCGUCUUUGAUAGCAGUGUUUUUGAUAUUGCUUUUUAUAGAGAGACUCAAGAUAAUGGAGUCUACUCUGUUGUGGUUAAUUAAACAUUUUUUGGUGUUAUUCAUAGUUUGAGAUGUUUCUUUUAGCUUCUCAACCUGCUAUACAGAUAAAAAGCACUUUCAUGUCAGGUAAAUAUUUAGAAUUGUUGCCAAAUUUUAAAUUUCCUCCAUCAAUUUUCUUUCAUAUGUCAUAUAUGAGUUGUGAGAUUUGGAAGGAUAUUUCAGACCAGCUUCUGUAUCUAUUUUUUUCUCUAAUCACAUGCUACUGGUGGUGUGGACAGUAGUAGCACAUGACCAUAUCAGGACAUGAUCUAUCUUGGUGUCAUGGCUCUCAGUGAGUCUGCUUGGAGGGUAGUAGAAGUAUCCCUGGACGUCAUUCCUACACCAGGACAGCAAUAACUUAGCUCUCCAAGGAAGUUACUGUGAACCACAUGCACAUAUUCUACUCAAGUCAAUGUGCCCCCAACUCAAUUUGUCCUUAGCUAGACCCCAAAAGUUCUCAUGGGGAGUCUCACUCCCCUUCCACUUAACAUGAUGGAAGGCCUGAUUGGAGGGGGGCGUCAGCAGUGGGAAGAGACACAGCCUUCACUGAUUGCAGCUAAAAUGUCUUACUUUUGAAAAUAGGACAAAAACAUAUGACCAUGUGCAUAUACUGCUGAAGCCCCUCCCUGGGCCAUGCAAGGUGCCUAUGUGAGUGCAAGUGAGAUGCCCGGAAGUGUAAGUUUCAUCUGCUCAGGAAAGGGCCAGGUAUUGCCUGGUAUCACAUUCCAGGGGAAAGGAAGAGACAGUCAAGGCCUUAUGGCUCUUAACUUUGAUCUUAGUGCUUCGUAUUUUCCAUUCUGCAUGAUACAAAAACAGAUUUAAAUCAUGUUCUAGAUAGAGAUGAAAAGCAUUUUCACUUUUGGCAGGUCGUGGAACAUCAAUCAAUAUUUGUUAAUUGGUUGAACUGGAUGCAUAAUUGGAAAGCUAAUGGAAGGAGAUAUGUUUUACAAGGAAGGGCCCUUGGUGAUCACUGAUUAGUCAUUUUUACAGAUAGCAAAGCCAGGAAGGGGAAUGACUGUCUGAAGGUGGCAGUGAAUGACAGAGCUGAGGCCCAUGGCAAGGUGCACUAGUACACUCUGCCUUUGCAUGACUGUAAGCAAUUAAAGUCUCAUCAGAAGUCAUUGUGAGUUAAUACACGGAGCAAAUAUAGGUGCAGAUGUCUAGAAGCAACAAUGGCAUUUACAGUGAAGCCAAACAUUGAAGGUUUACUGUAAAAUGUUGCACUGAAUUCUUUAUAUACACCUGUUUUGGUUAGUCAUUAUUCUCUCCAGUCUGUGGGUUACAUGCCCCUUGCUGACCCACAGUACCAUGCCACAAGAUAGGCAGUGUAUUGGCCAGGUGCACACCUGGCAAAAGUCUACUCUGCUUAGGUUCAGCUGUGGAUGGGUUCUGUGCGCCUUGGAUGGGGUCGUGAAAACUGUGGGACUACAGGACUGGGCUUGUGGGCAGAAGAGUCAUAGGGCACUCUGCCUAGGAAAAGGGAAAGGGGCCUGUUCCUACCAGGUGCUCUGCGGAGUGUCCACACUGCAGGGAAAGGCUCAGGUCUGAAUAGGAGGUGCAGACUUUGUGUCUACAGGACCCUGCAAACCUGAGGCCUUGUGGAGGUUUGGUCAAGAUGGAGAGGCCAGUUAGCGGCGUACCAUGGGCUAGACUGUCCAUGACGUGGAGUAAAAGGCAGCUAUUGGCACUGAGCUAACAACAGUGGGAGGUGGGGCCUCAGUGGAAGUGGAUUGCUUGCUUCUCAUCCUGCCUCCAACACUUGGUACCCACAUGACCCUGCACAAGGAACCUGUUUGUCCCAUCUGAGCCUCUGCAUCUUGGGCUGUCAAAAGCCAAGAAAAAAAAAUUGUAAGACUGAUCUCAUAGGGUCGUUACGAGAAUUAAAUGAGAUAAUCCAUGUAAAGCAACUGACAUGUAAAAAUAACAAUAAUGAAAG